UUCCUACCUCUCUUUUCAUAUCCCAAUAUCUACAGUGUGCCUUCUGGAGCCCCAGUUUUGUACCAGAGAAAUUCUCCUGCAUCCUUAGCUGUUCCACAGAAUGUAUCCUUUACCUCUGGACCUUACCUGAACCCUGGCUCUCCUCUAGAGGCUUCUCUUCCUGAGGGUUGGCAGGCUUACUGAUGAGUAAGGAAGAACUGAAAGGAGAAGGAACUUUGCUUACUAUGUCAUCAUUUUCAGACUGUGCUGCGCUGCUUCAGUAUCUUAGUUCCCCGACCAGGGCUUGAACCCGGGCCCCGCAGUGGAAACAAAGAGUCCUAACCACUAGACUGCCAGGGAAUUCCCACCCCCAUGUUUCUGAUUCAGUAAGUCUGAGCAGGACCUGCGGUUCUGCAUUGCUAACAACCUCCCAGUAAUACAGAUGCUGCCAAUCCCAAAACCACACUGUAAGUAGCAAGUGUUUAGAACAGGAAGCUAGAGGUUACAGAGCACCAGGGUCCUAAAUCCCACUGUACUGUUACUACCUGACAUCAGCCUGUUGCCAACUCAGGUCAUCUUUCAUCUCUCUCCCUCCAGAAUUUGUUCACUCUGACCCGACUUAGAUUUCUGCUUGAAUUUUCCCUGAUAUGGCCUGGAUGGACCAGGAGGGCAUCGAGUAGUAAUGAUCAAGUCCUGCUUUUGUUCUAGCUGAGCUGGGCCCCAGACGUUCUGAGCACUGGAUCUCUGUCACCAGCCUCUUCUACACCCUCAGCUACACUCCUAAGUCAUCCCUUUCUCCCUUCCUUCUUUUCUUCCCUCCCCUACCCACUGCUUUUUAGUCACUGGAGUCCUGCAUUCACCAUUUACAUGGAUUUGCCCAUCAGGCUCUCUCUCUGAGUCCAUGGCUAGUUCAAGUCCAACAAACAAGUAAAGUUCACUGGUUUCAAACAGCAGCUGUGGGCUCCACCACAGCCCCACUAAAGAACCAGGAGGCUGGAGAAAGGCUGAUGGGACAGUGCCUUCCCAGGGCCCAAUAUAAACAGAGUCUUGAAGGUUCUGGGGUAGAAGAAGCAAGGAGUAGGUGGAAGCACGCCCAAGGAGAGAACUGAAUAAAGAGUUUGUGAUGGGGACCAGUGAUAUAAGAAGGUUAUAGGAGAAAUGAAGGGAUCGUAUACAGCAGAGGAUUUGAAAACAGAACACUACCUAGCACCAUACACAAAAAUAAACUCCAAAUGGAUUAAAGACUUAAAUAUAAGACCAGACACUAUAAAACUCUUAGAGGAAAACAUAGGAAAAACACUCUUUGACAUAAACCACACUAAGAUCUUUUUUGAUACACCUCCUAGAGUAACAGAAAUAAAAACAAAAAUAAACAAACGGGACUUAAUUAAACUUAAAAGCUUUUGCACA